AAUCCAUAGGUUAAUGAGGCGAACCGGGGGAACUGAAACAUCUAAGUACCCCGAGGAAAAGAAAUCAACCGAGAUUCCCCCAGUAGCGGCGAGCGAACGGGGAGGAGCCCAGAGCCUGAAUCAGCAUGUGUGUUAGUGGAAGCGUCUGGAAAGGCGCGCGAUACAGGGUGACAGCCCCGUACACAAAAGCGCAUGUGCUGUGAGCUCGAUGAGUAGGGCGGGACACGUGGUAUCCUGUCUGAAUAUGGGGGGACCAUCCUCCAAGGCUAAAUACUCCUGACUGACCGAUAGUGAACCAGUACCGUGAGGGAAAGGCGAAAAGAACCCCGGCGAGGGGAGUGAAAAAGAACCUGAAACCGUGUACGUACAAGCAGUGGGAGCACCCUUUUGGGUGUGACUGCGUACCUUUUGUAUAAUGGGUCAGCGACUUAUAUUCUGUAGCAAGGUUAACCGAAUAGGGGAGCCGUAGGGAAACCGAGUCUUAACCGGGCGUUAAGUUGCAGGGUAUAGACCCGAAACCCGGUGAUCUAGCCAUGGGCAGGUUGAAGGUUGGGUAACACUAACUGGAGGACCGAACCGACUAAUGUUGAAAAAUUAGCGGAUGACCUGUGGCUGGGGGUGAAAGGCCAAUCAAACCGGGAGAUAGCUGGUUCUCCCCGAAAGCUAUUUAGGUAGCGCCUCGUGAAUUCAUCUCCGGGGGUAGAGCACUGUUUCGGCUAGGGGGCCAUCCCGGCUUACCAACCCGAUGCAAACUGCGAAUACCGGAGAAUGUUAUCACGGGAGACACACGGCGGGUGCUAACGUCCGUCGUGAAGAGGGAAACAACCCAGACCGCCAGCUAAGGUCCCAAAGUCAUGGUUAAGUGGGAAACGAUGUGGGAAGGCCCAGACAGCCAGGAUGUUGGCUUAGAAGCAGCCAUCAUUUAAAGAAAGCGUAAUAGCUCACUGGUCGAGUCGGCCUGCGCGGAAGAUGUAACGGGGCUAAACCAU
rnacentral:rRNA from 1 species